rnacentral:lncRNA from 1 species
GGUGCUUCAUUGAUGACAAGGUUGAGGUACAAUGAGAAGAAGAUCUUUUAUCUGUUCACCAGUGACAGAAGUGUAACAGGUAAAGGAUGUCCAAAAGGCAUGCAAGCAUGCAGCUGAAGAUAAUAAUACAAACUGAGAUAUAAUAUACAACAUCAACAUAAAAAGAACAUAAGAACUAUAUGAACAGCCCAAGCACAGAGUAGGUAACAAGGAUAAAAGAUGAGAGUGCAGCCCCAACAGCAGUGGAAGAAACCAAAAGCUUUCGAGUAGUAGUUGAAUCAUCACAGCAGCUUGAAAAGAUGAAGCAUGGAACAAAAGUAUCAGUUAGGUCCAGGCUAAAGGAAGGAUACAAAGCAGUCAUUCAAUAUAAGAAAUCCUAUAAACAUGUGGCAAGGGCAACAGGUUUGCUUAAGAAACAAAGCAGCUCUGAAUAGAAACAUAGUGCGCCAUCUGCAGUAUGCUCGUGCCAAAUUAUAAAGAAACUGAGCCAGAUGAUAUGUGGAUGGAUAUGUGUUGUAGAACUGGAGCAGUGAAUGUGUCACAUCAAUACUACAGCGGCAGCAUUUGGACGGUCGAUACUCUACAAUUUGGGCUAACAUUGCACAUACAUAAGCCUUUGAACUGCUUGAUCCAGCCACUUGGACAAAAUAAAGAGUGUAGAAUAAAACUAAUCCUGAUAAAACAGCUGAUACAAAAUAUAGAAACAAAGCGGAAGUACAGAUGAUCUUGGUAAAACUCUGUGAACAAUUGUAAAGACUUCCGCAAAUUAAGAAACCAAAUAAUAGUAUGUAAAGUCUGCACAGCUGAAUGUAGAGGACUUCCAAAGUAUAAUUGUGUGGUAAUUAGGCAGUGAAGAUAUAUAUUAUAGUCUAAGAGGAUCCACAAAGCUGAAAAUUCACUGGCUAUCUGAUUAAUAGCUAAAUAAAGAGCAGAGCAACCAUGAGUAUAGAUUGUAAACAAUAAGCAAGAUAAACUCUUCGACAACUGCGGGCAGAGAAUAUGAUAUGAGAUGCUAGUGCACAGGUAAUGAAAAAGGUAAUACUUCCCCUAUUGCAGAUAAAAAAUAGGUGACAGAACCUUUGAAGCCAAAAUGUGGAGCUUGAACCUGAGCAGAUUAAACCAAUGACAACCUAGUACAUACAGCCUUACAUACAUCAUUAAGAAGUCAGUGUGAAGCUGAAUAUAGGCAGCAUGUUGGAGAAACGUAACUAGAGAGGCUGAAAAGAUUAAGGAGGAUGGGGAAGGAUUGAAAA